UUGAAACUAUUUCACAAUUUCAAUCUCCUGACCUUUUGCUUGACUGGCUUAAAUCCCUCUUUAAUGGGAAGGCGAUGAAGGAUAAUGUCAGUGGAAAAACCCUCCAUGUCUUCAUGAGACCAUGCAAACACAUCAUGGAAUUGGGUUAAUAGCGUAACCAUGUCAUUCCGUUGGUUUGGGGUAAGGUCUGAACCAAUCUGGAUUAACUUAGGGCUUUCUAAGGUUCUGAGAUUGAAAGAAAUGGUUUGAUCAAGGUUGGGUUUGGGUUUGUCUUUGACCCAUUCUUGAAUUUCUGGAGGCACCUCAAUGUCAUCCUGUAUAUCCAUCAAGGCUGAAUUCAUCUCUACAUCAAAGGUACAAUCCUUGUGGAGAAGAGGCACCGUAUCAGCAAGUACAG
rnacentral:lncRNA from 1 species